AUACAUGUAUAUUUCCAUCUCAUCUUAUGCAGUCAGCCUGAUUCUUAUCUAGAAAGAAAUGGGUAUUUAAAGGCCUAUCUACUACAUCAGCAAACUAUUGCGAGAUGCAGAGAUCUGAUAUAAAAAGAUCAAAAAAAUGAUAUAUACUUUGAUCAUGGCAGCCCGAAGACUCAGGCCUUACUUCCAAGCUCAUACUGUUGCAGUAUUGAUAGACCAGCCACUCAGAUCAAUAUUACAAAGAGUUGAUACUUCAGAUC
rnacentral:lncRNA from 1 species